AUACGGAGGAUCCGAGCGUUAUCCGGAUUUAUUGGGUUUAAAGGGAGCGUAGGCGGGAGAUCAAGUCAGCUGUGAAAUGUAGAUGCUCAACAUCUGCACUGCAGUUGAAACUGGUUUUCUUGAGUGCGUAAGGGGCAGGCGGAAUUCGUCGUGUAGCGGUGAAAUGCUUAGAUAUGACGAAGAACUCCGAUCGCGAAGGCAGCCUGCCGGGCCGCGACUGACGCUGAAGCUCGAAGGUGCGGGUAUCGAACAGGAUUAGAUACCCUGGUAGUCCGCACAGUAAACGAUGGAUACUCGCUGUCGGCGAUAUACGGUCGGUGGCCAAGCGAAAGCGUUAAGUAUCCCACCUGGGGAGUACGCCGGCAACGGUGAAACUCAAAGGAAUUGACGGGG
rnacentral:rRNA from 1 species